CAUUAGUCUUUUGUGAUACAUUUUCAAUGAGUCAGGUUGUUUGGGAAUGCAGCCUAAAUUGGGAGGUAAAUCUCUCCUAAAGCUAAAUAUUUGCGAGAAACCGAUAGCGAACAAGUACCGUGAGGGAAAGAUGAAAAGAACUUUGAAAAGAGAGUUAAACAGUAUGUGAAAUUGUUAAAAGGGAACCGUUUGGAGCCAGUCUGGCUUUCCUAUAAUCAAUCUAGGCUUCGGCCUUGAUGCACUUGUAGGUUAUCGCCGGCCAACGACAAUUGGGAUCGCGAGGGAAAAAACCUUUGGAAAUGUAGCCAUUCUGCAAAGUUUGGUGUUAUAGUCCUUGGGAAAAUACCUUGUGCUCGAUUGAGGAUCGCAGUGAAUGCCUUUCGGGGCAGGAUGUGGUGAGGUAGGUUUGCUUGACCUAAGGUGACUUUCGGGUUGCUUUAGCGAUGGCUUACUCCUUGCUUCUAUCUUUAUUCGCUUA
rnacentral:rRNA from 1 species